CUCGUCUUUGUCAAACUAGACGAAUCUGAUUAUGGCAUCUAUAAGUGUUAUGCUUUUAAUCUUCUCGGAACCGCGUCGGUAAAACUAGAAAUCAGCGGAAAGCCUAUGAGACCGACAAUCCUCAGUCCAGUGACAGCGCCACGUCGCCAUGCAUACGAGCUUGUAUGGUCCCCAAAUAUCGUCACUACAUACGGCACAUAUCUGAGCAUCGACGAAUUUAUUGUGUCCUAUCGCCCUCUGCAUAGACCGAAUACCGACGUCAUCUUCGGAAACCAAACCUAUUCUAAAUGGUACCAAGAAGUGGUCCCAGUCUCCUCCGGACCUGAAGUCAUAUCACACGUCCUUCGAGAUCUCUAUGCAGGGACAUCCUACGAGCUUGUCCUGUUUGGAAGGAAUUCGUUAGGCAACGGAGAGAGCGCUAGACUUGUUUUCAACACAU